ACCAACGCGUGGCGGCUGAGCGAGGUGAACGAGGACUUCAGCUUGUGCCCCAGAUACCCCCGUGCGGUGAUCGUGCCAUACUUGGUGGACGAUGAUGCCCUGGCGCGCAGCGCCCGCUUCCGUCAGGGAGGUCGCUUCCCGGUGCUCAGCUACCACCCGGCUCCCAGCGGCAGAGGGAGCGCGCCCUCCCCACGCUCCGCCCCUGGGUGGCUGCGUCCUUUCUGGGCCUUUUCUUUUUGGCCCGGUCAAUUCGCGGCGUAGCCGCUGCCCCAACUCCUGCCCCAUUCUGGUCCCGCCCCUCUCCCGCCUUUUCGCUGGGAAGGGUAUCACCUUUCUCUGGCCCCGCCCCUGACGGUUCCGGGCCCCGCGAAGCUUAGUCCCUUCUUUGUCAAGCCAGGACCCGCCCACGGUCUAUUCAUAGGGUCCCAAACCACUUUGGCCACAACACCCCCAGACUGGUCCGAAGCCUCGUGAGUUCGCCCUGGUCGUUGCACUCCAGCCUGUCGCUGUGCAGACCUGGCUUAGAGGACCCCUAAGGCUGAGGGGUCACUUCCAGAACUGAGUCCGGUCCGCAGGUUCUGCUACGCUCCAGCCAGCCCCUAACUGGUCCCCAGAAGCGGCGCUGCUACAGGGACCAGGAGCUGCUGCGAACUGCGCUGGCGGGGGCUCGUCCUUGGGCGCGGGGCUUCAUCAUGGACACGCUCUCGGCCCAGGCCGCGAAACAAGCCCGCGUGACUGGCGGAGGCACAGAGACCAAGGCCGCUUAACCUGGCUGGUUGCACUGGUCCCUGGAGAGAGGGCGUCCCCUGCAGGAGAGCUUCAUGCGCCUGGUGGAGGCCUGUGGGGACUCGGAGCAAAGCAUGGACAACUGGCUGAGUCGGCUGGACGGCUGCCGCUGACUGUAACAUGUAAAGCAGGCACUGAGCACCACCUGCCUGGCAGUCCAGGGCAUGGAGAGAUGCCGUGUGAAGGGAGGACUCAGAUGCACUCCCUGUGGUCUGGGCUCAACCAGCCAAAAGAGCAACAAAGACUCCAGAACCCACUCUACCUCCUCAAUCCCUUGGCCAUCUGUGGAGCCCCAGAGCCUGCGGCUGUGGCAAGGCCUGUUUCUGCGCUGGACCUGCUCACCUGAGCCUGCAGAAGCUGCAUGGGGGAAGAGUGUGGCAAAUAGUGACAGGAAGGGAGAAGACAGAAGCCUCUCAGCCAACUGCUUCAGCCGAGCCCCUAUUCUAAGCACUGGCUCCUUGGAUAGCAGCUGAGAUGUUCCUGAAACCUCUGCAGGCCCCUUAGGACCUUUACACCUUGGAUGAGGGUGCCUGCAACCCAGGUUAGCCAAAAGUACUGAGGGUCUUAAGUUUGAAGUGUCCAAAGUAUAGGGAGGUCUCAAUAAUAAAAGUCUCCAUGAUCAGC
rnacentral:lncRNA from 10 species